rnacentral:rRNA from 1 species
UCUACGGAGUUCAGCAUUGGGGAAUAUUGGGCAAUGGGCGCAAGCCUGCACCAGGAACGACCCUUGGAGGAUGACGGCGGUAGGGUGGUAAAGUCCUUUUGAAGGGGACGAAAGAUUUCGAUAACACCGAAACUUGACUGUACCCUUAGAAGAAGCUCCGGCUAACUACGUGCCAGCAGCCGCGGUAAUACGUAGGGAGCAAGCGUUGUCCGGAUUUACUGGGUGUAAAGGGCGCGUAGGCGGGUUUGCGAGUCAGAGGUGAAAUCCCGCAGCUUAACUGUAGAAUUGCCUUUGAUACUGCAAAUCUUGAGUUCGGAAGAGAGAAGCGGAAUUCCAAGUGUAGUAGUGAAAUACGUAGAUAUUAGGAAGAACACCAGUGGCGAAGGCGGCUAUUUGGUCCGUAACUGACGCUGAGGCACGAAAGCGUGGGGAGCAAACAGGAUUAGAUACCCCAGUAGUCC